AACGAACGCUGGCGGCGUGCCUAACACAUGCAAGUCGUGCGAGAAAGUUCCUUCGGGAGCGAGUAAAGCGGCGCACGGGUGAGUAACACGUAGGCAACCUGCCCCCCAGUCUGGAACAACUAGAGGAAACUCUAGCUAAUGCCGGAUGAGACCACGAUCCCUUCGGGGGGUUGCGGCCAAAGAUGGCCUCUACUUGUAAGCUAUCGCUGAGGGAUGGGCCUGCGGGCCAUUAGCUUGUUGGUGUGGUAACGGCUCACCAAGGCUGUGAUGGCUAGCUGGUCUGAGAGGAUGACCAGCCACACUGGGACUGAGACACGGCCCAGACUCCUACGGGAGGCAGCAGUGGGGAAUAUUGCGCAAUGGGCGAAAGCCUGACGCAGCGACGCCGCGUGGGUGAUGAAGGCCUUCGGGUCGUAAAGCCCUGUCGCAGGGGAAGAAUAAGCAUCGGUAUAAUACGCCGGUGCCCUGACGGUACCCUGCAAGAAAGCACCGGCUAACUCCGUG
rnacentral:rRNA from 1 species